UGAUAGAGGGGACUUCUUUCCUAGAUGCAACUAGCUUUCAGCAAAUACAUACAGACUGUCUUCAUCUGUUCUAAACAGAAAGAAAACCAAUAUAUUUCAUGCCUCUUUUCUCAGGGAGACACCUUGAAAUACCAAGGGAGAUGCUGUAGGAAGAUCACAUCUUUCUGAAGAAGAUGCCAAGAACAUAUUAGCUGCUAGUUUGAGAACCUUCAUCUACACUUCACAGCUACUUUUAGAAAAACAGUUGUAGCAUUUAUCAAACACCACCGAGAAAACAGUAUACAUGUUGGAACUCAGAAUUCAGCAGCUACAGAAAUCUAGCAGGAGAGUAAGUAAAAAAGAAACGUGGUCCCAUGCAUUUCUACCAUUUUGAAAAGCACAGGAACUGCAAUAUAAAAUCAGCAUAGUUUUCUAACAUAGAAUGAGCUGUUUAAGGUUGACAAAGUUCAUAAAAGGGUGACCAUAUGCAGCCUCCAGCUUAGAGUUUCUGAUCUACUUAAUGCAUCUGAGUGGAACACAGCUGUCUGUGCAGACUCAUCAAAGCUCGACAUAAAACCACUCACCACUGGUGAUGGGGAAAGUGCAAUGUUGCCUAUGGAUGCCUUCAGCUCAUCCACGGUUGCAGUAUUCUUAAGAAUGUC